UACCACUUACAAGUUGUUUUUCUGUCCAAAGACUAAAAUCAAUGUUGUGCUAGGUAUCUUGUAAUGGGAAAUGCCUAAUUUUGAAUCUAUAAAGUUAAAUUUCAAGUAUUUGUAAGCAUAUAUUUAGUGAUCCUUUUGUUCUAUUUUCAGUUAAUUCUUCUGCUUCUAUGAUCUCUGCCAACAUCAAUAGCAUCCAUGUGCUUAAUGGCACAAACUUUAAGGAAUGGAAA
rnacentral:lncRNA from 1 species